UGCCAGCCGCCGCGGUAAUACUUAAGGUGCCAGCGUUAAUCGGAAUCACUGGGCGUAAAGCGCUCGUAGGUGGCUUUGUAAGUCAGAUGUGAAAGCCCACGGCUCAACCGUGGAAUUGCAUUCGAUACUGCAUCGCUAGAGUAUAGGAGAGGGAAGUGGAAUUUCUGGUGUAGGAGUGAAAUCCGUAGAGAUCAGAAGGAACCCGGUGGCGAAGGCGACGUCCUGGACUAUUACUUGCACUGAGGAGCGAAAGCGUGGGGAGCAAACAGGAUGAGAUC
rnacentral:rRNA from 1 species